GCCGCGGUGCCAGAGCUGGUCAAAUGGGCCGGACUCGAGAUCCGGUGGCCCUCGGGGCCUCAGGGGUUCGAAUCCCCUCCGCGGCG
rnacentral:tRNA from 1 species